AGCCACCAGGCGCCCCACCACUAGGUUCUUUAAUAGCCUUCUCCCUUCCCUUAUUUGUGACUUAUCUCUUCAACAGAGAGAAACCUGGCUCUCCUUAUUUACAAUAUGUUUACUUAUUUAUUCAAUCCCAGUAUACCAAUAAAAUAGUUUUGAAAUUGCUAAUCUGUGAGAAACAGAUUAGCUAACUAGAGUCAGUAUUUGCAUACAGCUCUUUUUUGUCCUUAGACUUAAGAGUUUCUAGUGAAAAUAGUAUUUUCCAGAAUUACUGAGGAUUGUUCUGUAUUUCAGUGUGACUAUGUUAUUUGUCUGUAAAAUAGUUUCAUAUGCUACCAUUUGUGUUCCAUUUGGGUCUGAUGUCCUGGUUGAUUUAAAUUUGGUACUUAUUUUCGGGUAUGUGAAGUGUUACUACGGUUCUAAGACUAGAGCUGUAGAAUUUGCAUCAAGUGUCUGCCCCCACUUUAUACCUGUCGUCCCCCUUCUUUCGUACCUUUUCCCACCCACUCUCCAUGGAAACCAGUGUCUUUAGUUCCUGGCACCUCCUCCCUGUAUUUCCUUUGUACAGAUGAGCAGAUGGGUGCAGGUGUUCUCAUCCCCCUUCUUGCAUUGCACAUCUUCUUUUGCACUUUGUCACUGUACGUCCUGGGAAUCUCUGCGAGCCCACGCACAGAGGUCUUCCCCUAUUUUUUACAGCUGCCUGGAGCCGUGUUGCUGAGAUGGGCCGCGCUUCUCCAGCUACUCUCCAGCCUGUGCCUGUUCAGGUGGUUUCCAGUAUCUUCCAGCUUAACCAGUGCUACAGGGAGUAACCUCGUGCAUUCUUUUUUCCCAUGUCGUUGUAGGUAUGCCUACCUGACAGGUUCCUGCAGGCAUAAUUUCUGGGUUAAAAAGUCUCUGUAGCUUUUGUUAGGUAUCACCAACUUUCCUACAGGAUAUGCAGCCCAGGAGACACCUGUUUCCCUACAGCCUCGCCAGCAGAGUCCGCACCACGCCUCAGCAUUUUGCCAGUCUGACAGAUGACAAGUGCCCGGUGGGGUCUUCUCGUUUGCUCUUCUCUAAGUAAACGGGCAUGCAAGAGAGUAGAAGCGGCCGGGCCAGAAUGGGGCUGCGGCCCCGCGAAGCUCAGCGCCCUGGUGUCCUGGAGUGGCGGGGGGCUGCCACGUGUGGGGAUUCCUCAGAACGGUGGAAGGAGCUCAGCCCAGCCUUGCCUGAGAUGUAUUGCGGGGGAGUCUG